rnacentral:rRNA from 1 species
UAAUACGUAGGAGGCAAGCGUUAUCCGGAUUUACUGGGCGUAAAGAGGGCGUAGGCGGCCUUUCAAGUCGGAUGUGAAAUCUCCCGGCUUAACCGGGAGGGGUCAUCCGAUACUGCUGGGCUAGAGGGCAGCAAGGGGAGGUGGAAUUCCCGGUGUAGUGGUGAUAUGCGUAGAUAUCGGGAGGAACACCAGUGGCGAAGGCGGCCUCCUGGGCUGUUUCUGACGCUGAGGCCCGAAAGUGUGGGGAGCGAACAGGAUUAGAUACCCUGGUAGUCCACACUGUAAACGAUGGACACUAGGUAUAGGGAGUAUCGACCCUCUCUGUGUCGAAGCUAACGCUUUAAGUGUCCCGCCUGGGGACUACGGCCGCAAGGCUA